GACUCUCAGCAACGGAUAUCUCGGCUCUCGCAUCGAUGAAGAAUGUAGCAAAAUACGAUACCUGGUGUGAAUUGCAGAAUCCCGCGAACCAUCGAGUUUUUGAACGCAAGUUGCGCCCGAGGCCUUCACGUUUGCCUGGGCAUCACGCCAAAAGACACU